AGAGUUUGAUCAUGGCUCAGGAUUAACGCUAGCGGCAGGCCUAAUACAUGCAAGUCGAACGGGAUUCAGGGUAGCAAUAUCUUGAUGAGAGUGGCGGACGGGUGCGUAACACGUUUGCAACCUACCUCUGACUGGGGGAUAGCUCACCGAAAGGUGGAUUAAUACCGCAUAAAAUUCUGAUGGGGCAUCUCAUUAGAAUUAAACCUCCGGGGGUCAGAGAUGGGCAUGCGUCCGAUUAGUUAGUUGGCGGGGUAACGGCCCACCAAGACUACGAUCGGUAGGGGGUCUGAGAGGAUGAUCCCCCACACUGGUACUGAGACACGGACCAGACUCCUACGGGAGGCAGCAGUAAGGAAUAUUGGACAAUGGUGGCAACACUGAUCCAGCCAUGCCGCGUGCAGGAUGAAGGCCCUACGGGUCGUAAACUGCUUUUAUACGGAAAAAAACCCCCUCGUGCGCGAGGGGUUGAUGGUACCGUAAGAAUAACGU
rnacentral:rRNA from 1 species